AAUUGAAGUCUGGUAUGAAAGGUUGGAUGAGAAAUUUACUUUCUUUAUUUUAUUUUGUAAAAUUUAAUUUUUAAAUCAAAAAGUUUAAGUUUUUUUGGAGGACGAGAAGACCCUAUAGAGCUUGACCCUCUUUUAGAUAAUCAUUUACUUGUAAAUGAUUUUUAGUUAUUUAGAAAGGGGUUUUAUUGGGGUGAUAAAAAAAAUUUCUUAACUUUUUUUAUUUUUUUCAUUUUUUUAUGAUUUUUUUGAUCCUUUAUUAUGGAUAAUAAGAUUAAGUUACCUUAGGGAUAACAGCGUUAUUUUUUUAGAGAGUUCAUAUCGAUAAAAUAGUUUGCGACCUCGAUGUUGGAUUAAAAUUAGUGUCAGGGGUAGAAUAUUGAUUACUAGGUCUG
rnacentral:rRNA from 1 species